rnacentral:lncRNA from 1 species
UUCUUUCUUAUGAGUCACUAAAUAAUUAAGCCAAGGCCUGUUUUGACUUUCUUUUUGGCCCAGUGAUGCAUGUCUAAUUUGAACUUCAUACCAUUGAUUAUUUGAGGAAGUUAAGUUGUGUUCUUAUAUUCUGUUUGCCCAAACUGCUGUAUGUGUUAAGUGAUAAUGAUCUGUGAUCCGUUGGGCCAAACAGUGGCGUUGAGCAGUUGAGUUUUUGGAGAUGAGAGCAGUUCGGGAGAUACAUUGUGGGGAAUAUUUUGUGGAUUAUGAUCGCAUGUUGAGUAUAUAAAAAAGAAAGGUGCCGAAUAA